GUGCUCAAUUCGGCAGCACAUACACUAAAAUUGGAACAUUAUACAGAAGAUUAGCAUGGCCCCUGAGCAAGGAUGACACCCAAAUUUGUGAAGCAUUCCAUACUUUU